GACGCCACUUGUACAAUACCUAUUCUCUCUCAUAUCAAUAAAAUAAAUCAAAAAGUGUAGAAAGAGAGGCGAGGAUUGUCUAAAAGGGUAGCUUUGCAAAAGAGAGAAAUGAAGUUUCUUUUAGUAACACACAAACACGUUAAUUUUUUCUCUCUCUUUUCUUCACCUUCAUGAAUCCAUUUCUAUUAACUAACAAAGGAAAUCCACCAUUUAUGCCUUCUGUCUCUCUCAGUAUGAAAAACACCACCAUAUUGCAUCCACCAAACACUACACCUUCAUUCAUGCAACAAACUACCAUUUGAAACAUAUAAACACACAUACUUUAUAAAAAUACUUCAACUUUAUCCUCAUUUUUCUAACAAAAAAAAUUAUUUUCUCCCUACUAAACAUCACAUUUCAACCUCACAUAAUCAUCUUCCUUUUCCUCUCCAUAAACACUUCAUUUCAUAUCAAUCAAACACAAUAUUAACUCCAUCUCAUAGAAACAUACUCACUACAUAAACAUCAUAAACCACAUCCAAGUCUAUCACCUCCUCAACACUCUACACAAUAAUAUGAAACCCCUCGCAUCACCCUCCGAUUACGGUACUCGAGCUUUCUCUCUAAUAUUUAAGUUACUCCUUGUUUUGUG
rnacentral:lncRNA from 1 species